rnacentral:rRNA from 1 species
AGUGAACGCUGGCGGUAGGCCUAACACAUGCAAGUCGAACGGCGGCACAGGAGAGCUUGCUCUCUGGGUGGCGAGUGGCGGACGGGUGAGGAAUACAUCGGAAUCUACCUUUUCGUGGGGGAUAACGUAGGGAAACUUACGCUAAUACCGCAUACGACCUACGGGUGAAAGUGGGGGACCGCAAGGCCUCACGCGAUUAGAUGAGCCGAUGUCCGAUUAGCUAGUUGGCGGGGUAAUGGCCCACCAAGGCGACGAUCGGUAGCUGGUCUGAGAGGAUGAUCAGCCACACUGGAACUGAGACACGGUCCAGACUCCUACGGGAGGCAGCAGUGGGGAAUAUUGGACAAUGGGCGCAAGCCUGAUCCAGCCAUACCGCGUGGGUGAAGAGGGCCUUCGGGUUGUAAAGCCCUUUUGUUGGGAAAGAAAUCCUGUCGAUUAAUACUCGGUGGGGAUGACGGUACCCAAAGAAUAAGCACCGGCUAACUUCGUGCCAGCAGCCGCCGUAA